rnacentral:rRNA from 1 species
CCUACGGGAGGCAGCAGUGGGGAAUCUUGGGCAAUGGGCGCAAGCCUGACCCAGCAACGCCGCGUGAAGGAAGAAGGCUCUCGGGUUGUAAACUUCUUUUAUCAGGGACGAAGCAAGUGACGGUACCUGAUGAAUAAGCCACGGCUAACUACGUGCCAGCAGCCGCGGUAAUAAGUAGGUGGCAAUCGUUAUCCGGAUUUACUGGGUGUAAAGGGCGUGUAGGCGGGAAAGAAAGACAGAGGUGAAAACCGUGGGCUCAACAUGUGGCCUACAUGUGAAACUGUUAUUCUUGAGCACUGGAGAGGCAGACGGAAUUCCUAGUGUAGCAGUGAAAUGCGUAGAUAUUAGGAGGAACACCAGUGGCGAAGGCGGUCUGCUGGACAGCAACUGACGCUGAGGCGCGAAAGCGUAGGGAGCAAACGGGAUUAGAUACCCGUGUAGUC